AGAAGGUUACAGUUCACGGUCCUUCUCGCGCAAUUCGAGAUUUCGCCGUGAGCUUCCAGUUUAACAGUCGUCAGGAAAAUAAUAUCCGGCAUUACAUCUCAAAUUUUGGUGACGUCACGUUCAAGAAUGCAUGAUCAAGAAAAAACCAAAGAAUCUCUGCGAGCUUUUCAAUCUAAUAGAAUUUUGCAAACAAGGCAUAGAACUCAUGUUAUCGUUCGGUGAAGAUUCAGUUAACGAAUUUUCAAAAUGGAUUAGUUUGGUUCAAUAUCAUAUGCCUUAAUUCAAGUAAAGAGUUCAUCUUGUUCCCUUUAAGUGUGAUAUUUAUCCCCAUCAUAAUUUAUUUUCAAAUUUAAAAAAAUGACAUAUAUGAUAAUACCUUUUAUUUAUAAUCUAUCAAUGACGAACGAUAUGAAUAUUUUUUAUGCGAGGAGGGUUAAAUAAAUUCAGACUGAAUUGUUAAUUGUUGGUGGUGAAUUGUGUAUAAAUUGUUGCUUUCUUUGUCACGGACUGUGGCGAUGUUAUUAUAUUGAUUUAAUAAAUCAGCUUUUAUCUUUC
rnacentral:misc_RNA from 1 species